ensembl:lncRNA
CAAAAAUAACACAAAAAACUAGAAACAAUAUACUUAUCUUGAACAAAAACAACGCAAAAAAACAACACAAAAGUUUGGGUGAGCCUUUCUCACCUCCCAUAGCCAACACACUUCCUGUUUCUCACUAGCUCCCUCUAGCACGCUCAGGGUGCUAUGGCCGUAAGCGAGGCCUGCUGCAAAGUGUGGGCUAUUUAAAGAUCAGCCACCCUAAUGCGCAAUGUAUUAGAUCAGUUGUGAAGAAAAAACUAAAGUUUACAGCACCUGGUAUUCCCAGGCAUUCUCAAAUCCAAGUACUAACCAGGCCCGACCCUGCUUAGCUUCCGAGAUCAGACGAGAUCGGGCGCACUCAGGGUGCACCCUAAUUGGCAGUAUAUUAGAUCAAUUUUGACGAAAAAACUAAAGCUUACAGCACCUGGUAUUCCCAGGCGGUCUCCCACCCAAGUACUAACCAGGCCCGACCCUGCUUAGCUUCCGAGAUCAGACGAGAUCGGGCGCGCUCAGGGUGGUAUGGCCGUAAGCGAGGGCUGCUGCAAAGUGUGGGCUAUUUAAAGAUCAGCCACCCUAAUCUGCAGUAUAUUAGAUCAAUUUUGACGAAAAAAACUAAAGCUUACAGCACCUGGUAUUCCCAGGCGGUCUCCCAUCCAAGUACUAACCAGGCCCGACCCUGCUUAGCUUCUGAGAUCAGACGAGAUCGGGUGCGCUUUGUUUUUUUUUUGUUUUUUUUGAAGAAAUUUUCAAUUCAAACAUACAUAUCAAUUAUGUUACAUAUUAAAACAUAUAAGAUGCUUUCUUGGACAUAAAAACUCCUAAAAUUAAGAGUUUACAGACAUCUUACGUACAAAGAUUUAAAAAAGAGGUCAUUAAAUGGUUUAGUCUUUUAAAAAUGACAAUUUCAUCCCCAAGUCAUUUAAAACCUUUAAGACCUCCUGAGUAAAAACAUCAUAAAAAACAUCCAUGAUUUCCUCUGACUUAAAAUAAUAAAAAAGACAUUCUACAUAUUUCUCA